AUUGAACGCUGGCGGCAGGCCUAACACAUACAAGUCGAGCGGAUGAAGGGAGCUUGCUCCUGGAUUCAGCGGCGGACGGGUGAGUAAUGCCUAGGAAUCUGCCUGGUAGUGGGGGAUAACGUCCGGAAACGGGCGCUAAUACCGCAUACGUCCUGAGGGAGAAAGUGGGUGAUCUUCGGACCUCACGCUAUCAGAUGAGCCUAGGUCGGAUUAGCUAGUUGGUGGGGUAAAGGCCUACCAAGGCGACGAUCCGUAACUGGUCUGAGAGGAUGAUCAGUCACACUGGAACUGAGACACGGUCCAGACUCCUACGGGAGGCAGCAGUGGGGAAUAUUGGACAAUGGGCGAAAGCCUGAUCCAGCCAUGCCGCGUGUGUGAAGAAGGUCUUCGGAUUGUAAAGCACUUUAAGUUGGGAGGAAGGGCAGUAAGUUAAUACCUUGCUGUUUUGACGUUACCAACAGAAUAAGCACCGGCUAACUUCGUG
rnacentral:rRNA from 1 species